rnacentral:rRNA from 1 species
AUAUCAUUAAGCGGACAAAGAAAGUAAAGACGAUUCCCUCAGUAGCGGCGAGCGAAGCGGGAACAAGCCCAAGCUGAACCCCUGCCCCUCAGGGCAUGGGGAUUGUAGCCUAGAGAUCAUCGCUGCCAACGGGCCUGAAGUGAGUUGGAACGCUCCGCCACGGAAGGUGAUAGCCCUGUACAGGCCCAUAGUGCGUGAGAUUCGUAGAGUCGAGUUGCUUGGGAUUGCAGCUCAAAAUGGGAGAUGUACUUCUCCUAAGGCUAAAGAUCACUGGGAGACCGAUAGCGAACAAGUACCGUGAGG